rnacentral:rRNA from 1 species
UGGGGAAUAUUGCACAAUGGAGGGAACUCUGAUGCAGCGACGCCGCGUGAACGAAGAAGGCUUUCGAGUCGUAAAGUUCUUUUAUAUGGGAAGAUAAUGACGGUACCAUAAGAAAAAGCCCCGGCUAACUUCGUGCCAGCAGCCGCGGUAAUACGAAGGGGGCUAGCGUUGUUCGGAUUUACUGGGCGUAAAGCGCACGUAGGCGGACUAUUAAGUCAGGGGUGAAAUCCCGGGGCUCAACCCCGGAACUGCCUUUGAUACUGGUAGUCUUGAGUUCGAGAGAGGUGAGUGGAAUUCCGAGUGUAGAGGUGAAAUUCGUAGAUAUUCGGAGGAACACCAGUGGCGAAGGCGGCUCACUGGCUCGAUACUGACGCUGAGGUGCGAAAGCGUGGGGAGCAAACAGG